rnacentral:rRNA from 1 species
AUGUAAUGACUAUAACAUUAAUGCACCAGAUCGCAUUAGAAAUCUGUAAUUAAGCAUGUUUGGGCUAGAGUAGUACUGGGAUGGGUGACCUCUUAGGAAGUCCUAGUGUUUUACAUG